GAAACUGAGGCUUGGUUUCCCGAGAGCGCAGCUUGUCACGCGCAAGGCUUGUGACCUUAGCAGUCACUUCUGUUGAGGAGCUCCAUUCUCUUGUGUUGUAAACCGAGACCUAAAGGAACGCGUAGUGUUGCUCGCUGAAAUCUUCCGGCUGGCCCGGCAAGUGGCGCCCAACAGCGUGGAGCUCAACGAAAGUUCCUUGCGGCCGCUGCCCGUUGAAACUAUUAAGAGUACAUCAUACAAAACGCUUGGCUGGAAGAAGCACAAGCUGGAAUCAAGAUUGCCGGGAGAAAUAUCAAUAACCUCAGAUAUGCAGAUGAUACCACCCUUAUGGCAGAAAGUGAAGAGGAACUAAAGAGCCUCUUGAUGAGAGUGAAAGAGGAGACUGAAAAAUCUGGCUUAAAACUCAGCAUUCAAAAAACUAAGAUCAUGGCAUCUGGUCCCAUCACCUCAUGGCAAAUAGAUUGGGAAACAGUGGAAACAGUGACAGACUUUAUUUUCUUGGGCUCCAAAAUCACUGCAGAUAGUGACCGCAGCCGUGAAAUUAAAAGACGCUUGCUCCUUGGAAAAAAAGCUAUGACAAACCUAGACAGCAUAUUAAAAAGCAGGGACAUUACUUUACCGACAAGGGUCCAAAUAUUCAAAGCUAUGGUUUUUCCAGUAGUCAUGUAUGGAUGUGAGAGUUGGACUAUAAAGAAAGCUGAGUGCCGAAGAAUUGGUGCUUUUGAGUGGUGUUGGAGAAGACUCUUGAGAAUCCCUUGGACAGAUCCAACCAGUCAAUCCUAAAGGAAAUCAGUCCUGAAUAUCCAUUGGAAGGACUGAUGCUGAACCUGAAACUCCAAUGUGUUGGCCACCUGAUGCAAAGAACUGACUCAUUGGAAAAGACCCUGAUGCUGGGAAGGCAGCGGGGGGAAGGGGAUGACAGAGGACGAGAUGGUUGGAUGGUAUCACCAACUGGAUGGACAUGAGUUUGAGUAAGCUCCGGGAGUUGGUGAUGGACAGGGAAGCCUGGCGUGCUGCAGUCCAUGGGGUCACAAAGAAUGAGACAUGAAUGAGUGACUGAACAACAGCAGCAGGUAUAUGUCUUUAGUUUGCCACCUUAAGAUAUGUCAAAGGGAUGUGUGUGGCCAGAGGAGGUUUUGUAAUGUUUGUUUUGCUAGUAGUUAAAUGUUUGUGUAUUUCAAACUGUAUUCAGUUACUUGCCUACAGUUAUCUCCAUGAGGAAAUAGAAGGCAGUUACAUUGGUUAAAUGUUGUAAUUUAUAUGCUAAGAGAGUAGAACCUAAUGUUCUCAGCACACAAAGGGAAUGGUAACUAUGUGAUGGGAUGGAGGUCGUAGCUAAUGCUAUGGUGGGAAUAAUUUUACAGUUUAUAAAUGUAUCAAAUCAACAUGUUCUACAUUUUAAACUAUACAAUGUUAAGUGCCAAUUAUAUCUCAGUAGAGGUGGCAAAAAAGAGAAAUGGGUAUGAUCUUUUUUUAAAAAAAUUGCAGCAUAGUUGAUUUACAAUGUGUUAAUUCAGGUGUACAGCACAGUGAUUUAUAUGUUAUAUAUAAAUGUGUAAUCUUUUCCAGAUUCUUUUCCAUUAUAGGUUAUUACAAGAUACUGGAUAUAAGUUCCCUAUGCUGCACAACAGGACCUUGAUGUUCACCUGUUUUGUGUAUAGUACUCUGUUAAUCCCAAACUACUAGUUUAUCCCUCCUACCCCAUCCCCUUUGGCAACUCUAAGUUUGU